GAUGAACGCUAGCGGCAGGCUUAACACAUGCAAGUCGAGGGGUAUAGUUCUUCGGAGCUAGAGACCGGCGCACGGGUGCGUAACGCGUAUGCAAUCUACCUUUUGCAGAGGGAUAGCCCAGAGAAAUUUGGAUUAAUACCUCAUAGUAUGUGAGAAUGGCAUCAUUUUCACAUUAAAGUCACAACGGCAAAAGAUGAGCAUGCGUCCCAUUAGCUUGCUGGUAAGGUAACGGCUUACCAAGGCAACGAUGGGUAGGGGUCCUGAGAGGGAGAUCCCCCACACUGGUACUGAGACACGGACCAGACUCCUACGGGAGGCAGCAGUGAGGAAUAUUGGACAAUGGGCGCGAGCCUGAUCCAGCCAUGCCGCGUGCAGGAUGACGGUCCUAUGGAUUGUAAACUGCUUUUGUACAGGAAGAAACACUGGUUCGUGAACCAGCUUGACGGUACUGUAAGAAUAAGGAUCGGCUAACUCUGUGCCAGCCGCCGCAGUAACAC
rnacentral:rRNA from 1 species